rnacentral:rRNA from 1 species
GAUGAACGCUGGCGGCGUGCCUAAUACAUGCAAGUCGAGCGAACAGACGAGGAGCUUGCUCCUCUGACGUUAGCGGCGGACGGGUGAGUAACACGUGGAUAACCUACCUAUAAGACUGGGAUAACUUCGGGAAACCGGAGCUAAUACCGGAUAACAUGUUGAACCGCAUGGUUCAACAGUGAAAGACGGUCUUGCUGUCACUUAUAGAUGGUUCCGCGCCGCAUUAGCUAGUUGGUAAGGUAACGGCUUACCAAGGCAACGAUGCGUAGCCGACCUGAGAGGGUGAUCGGCCACACUGGAACUGAGACACGGUCCAGACUCCUACGGGAGGCAGCAGUAGGGAAUCUUCCGCAAAGGGCGGAAGCCUGACGGAGCAACGCCGCGUGAGUGAAGAAGGUCUUCGGAUCGUAAAACUCUGUUAUUAGGGAAGAACAAAUGUGUAAGUAACUAUGCACGUCUUGACGGUACCUAAUCAGAAAGCCACGGCUAACUACGUG